rnacentral:rRNA from 1 species
CCUACGGGAGGCAGCAGUGAGGAAUAUUGGUCAAUGGGCGGGAUCCUGAACCAGCCAAGCCGCGUGAGGGAAGAAGGUACAGCGUAUCGUAAACCUCUUUUGUCAGGGAACAAAGGCGGGGACUAGUCCCCGGAUGAGGGUACCUGAAGAAAAAGCAUCGGCUAACUCCGUGCCAGCAGCCGCGGUAAUACGGAGGAAGCGAGCGUUAUCCGGAUUUAUGGGGUUUAAAGGGUGCGCAGGCGGCCUGUUAAGUCAGCGGUAAAAGCCCGGGGCUCAACCCCGGCGAGCCGUUGAAACUGGCGGGCUGGAGUUGGAGAGAAGUACGCGGAAUGCGCGGUGUAGCGGUGAAAUGCUUAGAUAUCGCGCAGAACCCCGAUUGCGAAGGCAGCGUACCGGCUCCAAACUGACGCUGAGGCACGAAAGCGUGGGUAUCGAACAGGAUUAGAUACCCGAGUAGUC